rnacentral:rRNA from 1 species
GAUGAACGCUGGCGGCGUGCCUAAUACAUGCAAGUCGAACGGACGGGCCAGGAUUUUGCUUCUUUGUUGUUUGGGGCGGGGGUGGGUGAAACACGUGUAAAAUCCACCUAAAAUAGUGGGAUAUCCUCGGGAAACCGGAUCUUAAACCCGAUAAACUUUUGAACCGUAGUGGGCAAAAGUGAAAUACGGUGUUUCGGUCCCUUAUAGAUGGUUCCGCGCUGCAUUAGCUAGUUGGUAAGGUAACGGCUUACCAAGGCAACGAUGCAUAGCCGACCUGAGAGGGUGAUAGGCCACACUGGAACUGAGACACGGUCCAGACUACUACGGGAGGCAGCAGUAGGGAAUCUUCCGCAAUGGGCGAAAGCCUGACGGAGCAACGCCGCGUGAGUGAUGAAGGUCUUCGGAUCGUAAAACUCUGUUAUUAGGGAAGAACAUAUGUGUAAGUAACUGUGCACAUAUUGACGGUACCUAAUCAGAAAGCCACGGCUAACUACGUG